UGUGUGUGUGUGUGUGUGUGUGUGUGUCACUACACCUCCAAGUACAUUAUAAAAGGAGAGAGGACAGUGACCGAUGGCUCUCUACGGCACAGAUCAUCUGGUCCUUGUGCUCGAUGCUCCACAAGGCUCCCUCUCUCCCGCUCUAGACUGAGGGAACAGUGAAGACUCCAGGAGCUCUGAAGAUUUUUGGAAUAUUCUGUGGUUUAUACGAGCUCUGAGUGCUGCAAUGAGAGGGUGUGUGUUGCUGUUUGCGCUGAUGCUAGUUGUGAGACAUGGCCUGUGUAAAGACCAAGGACAGACCAGUAUCAACUCCUUGGACAUCAUGAAGCCGGAAAUCGACCCGUACUGGUACACGGGCCGGGGCAUUCGGCCCGUGGGACGCUUUGGACGCAGAGUGAAGGCCAGGAGGCCUCACGUUCACCUGGCGAGGAAGCCUCCCCUUCCCCCAUGCAAACUCAGACGCAGCCCGUCUGCAGCCUGCACACACCACUGGCUUUUCCAGUAACGAGGAGCCCUUUUUGUAAAUCUUUGUCUCUUCUUCGGUUUUAGUUCAUAUUUACUUGAAGCUGCUGCUGUAAGUUAAAGAGUUGCAAAUAGAGAGACUGCAUAAAGAUCCAAGAUUUUGAAAUAAACUAACACUGCUAACAUCACUCCCUAUAUAACGUACCAUGUAGAUGACUACGCUAUUCACUAUAUGAAACACUAUAAAUACACACACAUACAAUAUAUGACACAAUAAUAAUGACCAAAUAGUGCGAAACUAUUGUGUUGUAACCAUUGUGAAAAGGUUUGCAAUGGUUUAUGGGAUGAGUAGUCCCUCACUCGUUCACAAAAAAUUAUCGCAGUCUUGUACCUUUGUACGGAAGAGG